UUUUUUUUUUUUUUAAAUUUUCAGCAGCUGUUGCCACUGGCAUUUUAUUGUUCUUUGAUUUUUUAAAUAAAAAAUAUUUAGAUACAAUUUAUGGCAAUUUACAUUUGUUUGGAGAGAUUGUGUUAUAACAUAUUAUUUGGAGUACUUAAAAUUAAGAAUUAGUUGUGUCGCUUGUAUCCCUGUUCUUAUUAUUGUGGUUUCGUUUGAGUGUGGCGUUGUAUCCAGCGACGAGACAUCCAUCAGGAACGGUGAUGUUGGGCAGCUUUUCUCGUCCGACGAAAUCGAGAAAAUCGAGAGGCAACUGUCGCUUGUAUCCAUGUUUUUUCUGAUUGGGCUCCCUCUGCGCUUCCGUCUGGUCUUCUUUUCGGUUUGCUAGUGAUUGCUAUCUGCUGUGUGAAAGAGGAAGAGGGCCUCGAUAGACGACGCCGUUGGUGAUCGAUUUUUCCCUCUCUUUUUUUUCAGUAAAAGCUGGUCUGACCUAUUUACCACACUAGAGCGGGUCUGUCAUUUUCCAAUACUAGACGGGUCUAGUUUAGGUUGGAAUUUAUCGGUCUGGUAUUUAGUGUUGACCUAGUAUUUAUCGGUCUCGUCAUUUAAGAGUGUAUCGAGUCCGGCUUGUCUGGUCUUACUUUGGUUUUAUCGGACAAUCGAUAGUGGCGAUAAUUUUAAGCGUGUGUAUAUCGGUUGGUAUUUUUAAUUAGUGUUGUCCUAGUAUUAAUCAGUCUUGUAGUGGUGCGGUCUCAUUCAUUCAUGCGUUUUAACGGCGUCAGUUGUACGGUCUCUCUUCGCUUAGCUUGGUGUAAAAACGUGUUCCGCUUGCAAAUUUUUACCUUCUUGCUGGCUGUUGCUGGAUAUUGGGCUGGAAAUCUCGUCGUCAUUUCGCUGUGGUGUCUGUCAUCAGGCAGUUUUGUGUUCAUGCGGCGAUCAGCGGGUCUAGGCAAGGCGUAAUUUGAAGAAAGGCAGCAGCUCAUCAAUCGAGUCCUAAACGCCUGCAGGGUGCUAAUUGACCAGGAAUACAUUUUUGAAGUGUCGCGUGUGUUAUGCAGUUUCUAAUCCUUUUUCUUAGUCUCAUCCCUACAGGGUCGCCGAGUCGCUGCAAGGAUAAACCAGCGAGCAGAUCUGCGCGCAGGAUUGGCUAGGAGAGUUGCAGUAGUCGUCGGCGCUCGUUGUCAGGACAUAACAGGUAGCCAAUCUGCGCGCAGGCGUCCGUUGUAGCGGCUGCGGCUUCGAUUCCAGCGGACCCCAUAUUGCGCAAGGACAGCGCUCCCCAUAUUGCGCAAGGACAGCGCUCGCAGCAGCAAGCAGUGCGGGACUAGGAGACUUCAUCAGGCUGUUCUACGUAAAAUAUUAUAAGAAAUCUCGUCGUCAUUUCGCUGUGGUGUCUGUCAUCAGGCAGUUUUGUGUUCAUGCGGCGAUCAGCGGGUCUAGGCAAGGCGUAAUUUGAAGAAAGGCAGCAGCUCAUCAAUCGAGUCCUAAACGCCUGCAGGGUGCUAAUUGACCAGGAAUACAUUUUUGAAGUGUCGCGUGUGUUAUGCAGUUUCUAAUCCUUUUUCUUAGUCUCAUCCCUACAGGGUCGCCGAGUCGCUGCAAGGAUAAACCAGCGAGCAGAUCUGCGCGCAGGAUUGGCUAGGAGAGUUGCAGUAGUCGUCGGCGCUCGUUGUCAGGACAUAACAGGUAGCCAAUCUGCGCGCAGGCGUCCGUUGUAGCGGCUGCGGCUUCGAUUCCAGCGGACCCCAUAUU